rnacentral:rRNA from 1 species
GACUAACGCUGGCGGCGUGCUUAAUACAUGCAAGUCGAGCGGACAUAUCCUUUCGGGGAUAUGUUAGCGGCGGACGGGUGAGUAACGCGUGAGCAAUCUGCCUCUUACAGCGGAAUAACAGUUAGAAAUAAUUGCUAAUGCCGCAUAAGACCACGGAUGGGCAUCUAUCUGAGGUAAAAGGGUUACCGGUAAGAGAUGAGCUCGCGUUUCAUUAGCUAGUUGGUGGGGUAACGGCCUACCAAGGCGACGAUGAAUAGCCGGCCUAAGAGGGUGAACGGCCACACUGGAACUGAGACACGGUCCAGACUCCUACGGGAGGCAGCAGUAGGGAAUAUUGGGCAGUGGAGGAAACUCUGACCCAGCCAUGCCGCAUGAGUGAAGAAGGCCUUUGGGUUGUAAAGCUCUUUUAGUGAGGAAGAUAAUGACGGU